rnacentral:rRNA from 1 species
UCCGUAGGCGGAUUGAUAAGUCAGAGGUGAAAUCCCACAGCUUAACUGUGGAACUGCCUUUGAAACUGUUAGUCUUGAGUUAUAUGGAAGUAGUUAGAAUGUGUAGUGUAGCGGUGAAAUGCAUAGAGAUUACACAGAAUACCGAUUGCGAAGGCAGUCUACUACGUAUAUACUGACGCUAAUGGACGAAAGCGUGGGGAGCGAACAGGAUUAGAUACCCUGGUAGUCC